GAAGAGGGAAAUGGCCAAGGAGGCGAUAAGAGAGAGACAGGUGACCAGAGAGAGAGAGAGAAGGAGGCGACAGAGGAGGUACAGAAAUUGUAGAAGGAGAGAGAGGAGGUGACAGAGGAGGUACAGCAAUUGAAGAAGGAGAGAGAGGAGGUGACAGAGGAGGUACAGCAAUUGAAGAAGGAGAAAGAGGAGGAGGCGACAGAGGGUCAGGUGACCAAAGUGAGGGAGAGAGAGCACAGAGACGGGCAGCGCAGGAGGUGCAGAUGACCAGAGGGUCACAUGAUGAGGGCAGCAGUCAGGCAAAUGAGCAGGAUAUUGAGCCCCAUGUCAGGGACCAGUCGAACACCGACAACAGGGACAGAGAGGGAUUUGAUGUUUCAGACAUCAUCACCUGCACAGCCUGAUCCUAAGUUUAUGGUAGUGCAGAAGCGAGCUAACUGUGUGUUGUCUUUUCAACAAAAAUGGUUCACAACUUUUCCUUGGUUGCAUAACAGUGCCACUUUACAAGGGGUCAUAUGUUUUUACUGUGCCAAGGUUUUUUUGAAUCAGUCAACAUUUGCAAGCAAGUGUAACCCUGCCUUUGUAAGUGUAGGCUUUAGAAAUUGGAAAAAAGGCUAUCCAGAAGUUCUCAGAGCAUGCAAAAAGUCAGUUGCAUAUCCAUGCCAUGAACAUCUGUGCACAAAAAGGUAACACUGUGGCUUCACAGCUUUCUUCAGCUGUUGCCAGACAACAGGAGGAAGCAAGGUAUGGAUUGAGGAAAGAAUGUAGGCUCCAUCAAAUACUUAGCUAGGCAAGGUUUAGCUCUACAAGGUCAUGUGGAAGAGAAGGGUAAUCUAUCCCAACAUCUGAAAGAUAAGGAAGAAGAUGACCCUGCUUUUCAGAAGUGGUUAGUGACACACAAGCAGGAUUACACAAGUCCUCUCAUUCAAAACGAAAUACUAGGCAUAAUGAGCAAAGGCAUUAUAAGAGGAAUAGCUGACACUAUUCGAUGCCUCCCAGUCACACAGUUUGCCUUGAUUGUUCAUGGGACACAAGACACAUCAGGUCAAGAACAAGAAUCUGUAUGUCUUCGUUAUGUGGAUCAUGACUUAAUCCUCAUGAGGAAUUCAUUGGGAUGUAUUCAGUGCCUGAGACCAC
ensembl:lncRNA